rnacentral:rRNA from 1 species
GUGUUUAUUUUAGGUCGGGCCUGCCCAAUGAUUUAAAGUUGAUUGAAUGGCCGCAGUAUCCUAACUGUGCGAAGGUAGCAUAAUCAAUUGUCUUUUAAUUGAAGGCUUGUAUGAAUGGUUUGAUGAGGGGUAGACUUUCUUAAUCUCAAUUUAGUUAAUUUAACUUCUUAGUUCAAAGGCUAAGAUUUUUUUGUGGGACGAGAAGACCCUAUAGAAUUUGAUUUUUGUUCUAGUAUUAAGCUUUAUUUUUAUGAUUUAUUAUUAGUUUGAAGGUUUUGUUGGGGUGACAGAGUGAUUUUCUUAACUCGCUUUAUUAUUUAUUCGUUGAUUAGCGUGUUGAUUGAUCCUUUAUUAUGGAUUGUAAGUUAUAAUUACCUUAGGGAUAACAGCGUAAUUCUUCUGGAGAGUUCUUAUCGAUGGAGGAGAUUGCGACCUCGAUGUUGGAUUAAAGUAAGUGUUGGGUGUAGAAGCUUGAUUACUUGGUCUGUUCGACCA